rnacentral:rRNA from 1 species
UGUGGUGUUUAGGUCGUUCCGCAGGGACACUGCUCCUCUCUAAGUCCAUCAAUGAGUACGGUUGUACUGACAUGGCCCAUGGAGGGUGAAAGGCCCGUGAGAGAGGAGUUUUGUUGUGACAGUGUCCCUCUGGAUUGACCUUGGAGUCGGGUUGUUUGGGAAUGCAGCCCUAAGCGGGUGGUAAACUCCAUCCAAGGCUAAAUACAAGCACGAGUCCGAUAGCGAACAAGUACCGUGAGGGAAAGUUGAAAAGUACUUUGAAGAGAGAGUAAACAGUGCGUGAAACCGCUUAGAGGUAAACGGGUGGAGUUGAACUGCAAUCUCUGAGAAUUCAGCUGGGGAAAUUUGCUUGAGCUUGGUCAUUUGGGCAGGGCCUCGAGGUAUGCUUAGCUGCAUGUCCUGAUCUCACGGUCGGGAUGCGCGUUGCUCUUAUCAAGGGUUGCGCGCCUCGGGUGUCCGGCUGGCUCGUUCGCCAGUGCACUUUCUCAGAGUGAUCAUCACGACCGGCGCUGCUGCUGGGCUGUUUUAGUUAAAUCGGACAUUCAUCGUCCUUGUGGCGUUGGGUGGUCGACACGGCAGGUAACUGAGUGCUCGCUUCGGCUUGCUUUCCGGUGUAUGCUGGCUCUAACGGUUCUGUGCGGUGUGUCGGAGACGGCGGCUUGUGGUGUGUGCAUGUGUGCCUAUCUGGUGGCAUAUUCUGGUUUGGUAGCUGUGUGCUUGUUCAAGCAGGCCCAGUUAUAGCUGGAGUGUGUCAUUGGGUGGUUGCGUGUGUGUCACUUUUCAGGGCCAACAGUCUGUGAUGUCGUGGUAGACUAUCCACCUGACCCGUCUUGAAACACGGACCAAGGAGAGUAACAUGUACGCGAGUCAUUGGGCGUAACGAAACCCACAGGCGCAGUGAAAGUAAAGGUCUGGCUUGUCCAGUCUAAGGUGAGAUCCUGUCGUUGCUCAUGCGCGGUACCCCCAAGCUUGGAGCGAUAGGCGCAUCACCGGCCCGUCCCAUGACGUGGUCACAGUCCUCGGAUUGUGCGCCGUCGGGGCGGGGCAUGAGCGUACAUGUUGAGACCCGAAAGAUGGUGAACUAUGCUUGCGCAGGUUGAAGCCAGAGGAAACUCU